GUCUCCAGGCCUUAAGGCUGUUAACCGAACGGCAAGGCUGGAUCUCGCGAUGUUUCGGGUGGCCGGCGCGUGCGUGCGUGCGUGCGUGCGUACGUGCGUACGUCCAUACGUCCAUACGUCCAUGCGGGCUGCGCAGGAGACCGUCGAAGAGAGAACGCGCGGCUUUUUGGGUCCGGCGGGUCGGUGUGUGGAGGUCUGUACGCUGGGGCCGCUGUUCGCGCGGGAUUGUCUCUGUGAUGCAGCCUAAUGACAGAACGUCAGAUAAAUACCAAUUCAGAGACAUUCGGCAAAAUAUCUGCCCUAGACUCCUCGAAACCGUGAAGGUCAUUGAAGACAAGGAAAGUCUGAGUAACCAUCACAAGUGAAAGGAACCUAAGAGGACACAACUACUAAAAAUAAUGUAGUAUCCUGGAUGAGAUCCUGGAACAGAAAAAGGACAUUAGACAAAAACUAAGAAAAACUGAAGUGUGGACUUUAGUUAAUAAUAAUGUGUCAUUAUUAAAUAAUAAUGGUUUAUUAAUUGUAAACAAAAAACAAAACCUAUAGUAGUAAUAGGGGAAACUGGGUACAGGGUAUAUGGGAACCCUCUGUAUUAUCUUUGUAAUUUUCUGUAAAUCAGAAACUUCUAAAAUAAAAAAUUUAUUUAAAUUAA